UUUAGCUGUAGCUUAGCAUAGAACAUUGAAUCUGGUUAGACCGUAGCAUCAAGCUUACAAAUGACCAAUGAUUUUUUAUAUUUUUCCUAUUUAAAAUAAAAAAAUGCAUCAUGUACUAAAACCACUGAAAAAAUAUAUCUAUAUAGCAGUAUUGCGCAGUUUGCAUCCUUCAGAUCUUCACAGAGUCUUUAGUUUUAUCAUAAUAUUAUUCUCUUUGAAAAGCCAAGCUCCUGGAGGCACGCCGUGGGCGGAGCUAAAGAGUGACGUAUACUUGAGUGCCGAACACAGAAAUUUGAUGCAGUUUUACUUACAGCCUGUGAUUCUGAAUGACCUGGAUGGGAUUGCUCCAUCUCUUAAUGUCAAACGAUGUACAAACAUAGGGUCAAACUGGACCUUUUUUAUAAACACGCUUGAAACUCAGAUGCUUCCCUAAAAACAAAAUACAUCCACAGUUCACUUAAUGCUGAGUUCUUUUGGACAUGGUUAUCUUUCCCUUACAACCAAAACACGACUUUGGGAGACAUUCUUCUCAAGAAAGUCCUGUGCAUUGCUGUCGAAUGAAACACGUUGAUGGGUGUGCUUUCACCAAAGCUCUGGGGUGUGUUUCCCAAAAGCAGUUAUGGUAAUAAAGUCUGUCUUUACUAAUAGAGUUUAAUGAAUGUUAUUUGGAAAUGCAUCCUGGGUUGAUAUGUAUGGGUGCGCGAUUCCGGGAGAAAUGCCCAUACAAGGAAUUCCACCUUUUGUGAUGUCAUAAAGAGCAUGAAUUCGGAAGGAGUGUAUUUGGCAUGUGUUUACUUCAGCCAUGUUUAGCACGAUCCAACUCUUUAACAGUGCAACAGUGCGUAUAAAAAAAAAUAUUUUAAAAAACGUGACAAUACAUCGAGGUCUUAAGACAUGAAAAAAUCUGUCUUUGUAAAAAACUGAACAGUAUUUAAUUCAUUUUUUACCACCACUAUUUCCAAUGGUACUAAGCUUGUUUACAACAGCGGGCGCUCAGUGUAUCAUGAAGAGCCGCAGGGUUUCACUUGGCUUUGUUUGUGUAUGUUUUUUUGACUCUUAAACCCACGAGUCCCAUUUACUGCCAUGAUAUGACUGGCAGACUGCAACGGUUUGAGUUAAAACACUUUGUUUUCUGCUGAUGAAACAAAGUCACCUGUAUCUUGGAUGCCCUGGGGGUAAGCAGAUGAACAUCAAAUUUUCAUUUUUGGGUGAACUAUCCCUUUAAGUGCCUCAAACAACUAUCUACUGCUUGUUUUGUAUACACCAGGCCAUCAAUGGACGAGCUGUGCAUGGUCCGCAGGAGGAAGUUUAAGAACUUUGUGCCAGGGAUGGCUGUCUGAAGUCACAAAAGUUUUGGUGUUUGAGGGAGUAAACAGGAAACAUAGUUGAACAUCACCACCAAUCUUUGCUCAAGAGAGCGGAACAGAAUCAUGGCAGAAAGGAAUGAAAACAACAAGGCUUAUCUGGGAGCUGCAGUCCUGCUAGACAUGCAACAUAUUUGGCCCACUGCACUGGAAACUAAAUGGAAUAUUAGCAUCUACCGGAAAACAAAAUUCCAUAUCCCUCACGUUUGCCAGAAUCAGUUAUCUGCAAUCAACAUUGCAAAGAGGACUUGACUCCCUUCCAAAGACUGAAGUACAGGAUGAAGACAACCACAACAAGGCAGAUGGCGAGCUCCCAGCGAGGAAGACCCAGGUCAUUGAUGCCUUUACUCUCAUGCAUGUGCAGCACCCCGC